UUUUGAUUUGUUUUUUGUUCUUGAAAAUCUUGAUUCCUAACUCUAUAAUUCCAAAUUAUUUAGUACAUAAAUUUAGUACAUAACUCUAUAAUUCUUUCUCUCCUUUUCGCAUCUCUUUCUUCCCUUCCGUUCUGUACUCUCAUCCGUUUCGUUUCUUUUCAGCUUAAAACCGACCUUUGUUAUGGAGAUCUCAGGUACACGCUUUACUGCUCAAAAAAGGUAAGCACUUAACCAAUGAUUACGUUAUUGAGAGAAGAAGAUCAUAACCAAAUCAACAUCUUGAUAUAGAUGUUGAAGAAAUAAGGAAACAAGCACAACUCCGAUGGUUUAAAGCAGCUGAAAUUCUUGAAAUAUUUGUCAACUAUAAAAGCCUCAGAUCUACUUAUCUCCGAUGGUUCAAAGGCACAUGUAUCGGAUGAUUGAAGAGUGAGAGUUAUUUUUGGUUAUUUGGAAGUAAAUUUUGAAGGAAACUGCAUUUUUUUCUGUUUUUACUACUACCUGAUUGAACACUUGCUCCAGAGGCCCUUAAGACAUAGCUCUUUUUCACUACCGAGAAGACAAGGAAGCUAGAAAAUAUUGCAAAGGCUCCAAGGAGAGAAGACGAACAAAGUAACAGCUCGAUCUUCCCACGAAACUGGAAAAAAUAUACCCAUUCUGGGUUUCAGAAAAUGGCUUGCUGGAUUAUCAUAACGACUGUGAAGAUGAGUCUUGUUGCAGUGUAUUCUUUACAGGAGAUGGCAUGCAAGAUUAUAAUAAUGACUUUGAAAUCAGCCUUUUCCCCAUGUAUUUGGGAAUGAUUUCCUCCUAAACCUAAGGACACCUAGUAGCCCUUGUGAAUUGCCGGAGUUUAUAAGUAUCAUUGCUAACAAAUGUUUAUUAACAGAUAAAAUUAAUUGAGCAUGCUAGAGAAAUUAAUUUUACAAGUUUGCAUUUGAAUUUUUCUGGGCGCACUUGAAAAAUGACUCCAAAUAAAACUCUGUACCAACGAAGUGAUCGGUACCCCCCUGGAUUUGCUCUUCGACCAUCUCGAUGUAAACUUCUCUCAUUUAAUUUCGUUUCAUCACAAUUCUCCUUUCAUUUAUGACACUUUUUGCCUCUCAUCUUUCCCUUUUUGGUGCUUUGGCUCAACCGUGUCAGGGAGGCACAAGCCUUUCAGAAAACUAACGGUUAGUUAACGACUCAUUUAGUAAAAUCCAACGGCUUAGAAUCGAUGUUAGUGUGCUUUCUCUAUAAAAGAUAAAUGGUGGUUAUUGCGUUUCACCAGGAUUGCCACAUCAGAGUCAAAGGAGUAUAAAUUCAAAUGUAAUCGAAACUUAGGACCUUUUUGCCAUUCUAUCAAUAAAAUAAGAGGUUAUACAGUAUUUCAGUUCAUUCUUUUUCUCUCUAUACACUUAGGGUUCCUAUUUUUCUCUUCAAUUUUUUUUUUUUCAAUCAGUCUACACUGUUUUCAUUUUUUCACCAAAUUUUAGUAUAAUUACACUUUCCAAUAAACAGAAUACUCUGUUUUUGCAAGCAUUUGUUUCAUCUUUAACACCUUUCUUAUGGCACUUUCAGGUAGAUGCUUUCUGGUUGAACAGAGAAAGUACUUAUGAAUGAGUUCACAAUUUGAAUUGUUUUACUGAUAUGAAUGAUGUUGCAGAUUGUUUGAAUGACGCGGGUGUUGAAGAAAUCGUGAAAGAAGCGCAACACAGGUGAUUGAGUGUAGUUGAAAUGUGCAAAAUAUUUGAAAACCAUGAAAAGCUUCAAAUACUUGCCUCUCAACCACAACGAAGGCCUCCAAGUAUUGUUUCAUUUGAGAUUUUAUUUUUCUAACCUUUUUAUGGAUGUAAUUUGGCUAAGUUACAUUAAUUGCAAGUGGCUCCUUUUUUGUCAUUAAGCUGCGAAGGCUUUGGGAGUUUAGGAAGGAUGACCAUGUGUGGAGUAAAAAGAAAAAGAAAGAUGCAAAGACGGUACAUGAGUUUAUUAAAAUUUCAAGGGUUUUUUGGCUUUUUCUUUGGUUCAUUUGGAAGUGCAUGCUUAAGGUUGAUAUAAUUUCAUUUUUCCACUUUUAUUUCGAAGGGUUGACUUUUGUUAUUGAUUUCCUACCAAGUUAAUUGAACACCACCGAUGCAGGAAACAUGAAGGCAUAGUACUUCUUCACUAAAGGGAAGACAAGAGGACAACAUUAGAUCACAUCAUAUCCUUUAAUUAUUGUGUAUAAAGUCAUAUUUUGAGUCUUACUUUUUUAUAUAUAUUUUUUCUAAUACAAACAAGAAAAUCCAAAAAAUCAUAAAUACGACAAGAAUACAACCAAAGUAAUCAUUUAAUCUUUCCAAGAAGUUAGAAAAGUUGUACCUCUUAAUUGUAAGUGUGAUAUAAUUUUAAUGAGUAUUUUAAUAUUUAUUUAAUUUUGUGUUGUUUCAUUUUUAUUAUGGAUCCUACAGAUAAUUUUGGUAACGCUAUAAUUAAAAGUUUUCAUAAAAGAUAUAAAAACUUGUUGUCUUAGAGUUGUCUUAACAAUUAUAUAACUGAAAUUUCAUUGGAAGAGGUAACAAAAAAUCUGUUUUUAUAAAGGUUUCUUUUCCACACAAGUUCUUGUAUUGAUUCCAGAGGUUUUUUUUUUUUUUUCGAAUUGAAAAAAUGCAUUGCUAUCCUAAAGGUGGUUAUCCCUAAACCCUAAACAAAAAAUCUAUUUUUUAUAGGUUUCUUUCCAACACAAGUCUUGCAUUGAUUCUAGAGUUUUUUUUUCUUUUUUUGAAUUGAAACAAUCUAUUGCUAUCCUAAAGGUGUUUAUUCAAAAUUUCAUUGCAUAAUUUUGCAGAAGCUUCAAUUAUGACUCAAGAAACUUGAUACAGGUGAAGGUGAGCUUAUAGUUUUAGCUGUAGAAGUGAUACAUUUUGCAGUUGCAUUUGGUUAUACUCUAACAAAAAUAGAUUUAAAUUUAAGUAAUGAGAAUGAAUUUUCAACUUUUUAUUGGGCAGCAAAGUAUGAGAGGUAAAACUCUUCAAGUUACUUUACUUUUGUGGGUGGCACCAAUUAUGUCCCCAAUGAAGGGUUGUAAAUUCAUUCUCAUCAUUUGAGUUUAUAUCUAUUUUUGGUGCACUAAUUAUAAUCUGUAAGGCUAGAGUAUGUAUCACUUUUACAUUUAACACCGUAAGUCUACCUUCAUCUUCACCAAGUUUCUUGAGCCACAAAUGAAACUUUUAAAAUUUAAUCAAUUUUAGAUAAACACUUUUAGGGUAACAGUGGAUUGUUUUAAUAAAAAAAAAAUAUAUUUAAUCAAUACAAGAACUUAUGUUGGGGAGAAACUUACGUAAACUGUUAUACUUGAGGGGUAUAACUUUUCUAGCUUCUUGGGAAGAUUGAGAGAUUACUUUGGUGGUCUUCUUGUCGUGUUUAUGAUUUAUCUAGUUCCUAUUUUUUUUUUUUAAAAAAUAAUAAAUCAAAGAGUAAGACUCAAAUAUGGCCUUGUACACAACAAUUGAAAGAUGCAAUGUGAUCUAAAAUACACAUUGAUGAAACAUGUUUAAAAUGUGCAGCUGAAAUAGGCGAAAUAUUUACCAACUAUAGAAGCCUCGAUAUAAUUAUCUCUCAACAACCAGAAACACCUACAAUCAAACUCUUAGAAAGUUUAAGAAGGACGGACACGUGUGGAGCAAAAAGAAGGAUGGAAAGACUAUUCAGGAGUCUCAUGUCAACCUCAAGGCCCACAGAAGAAAGACCCUGAAGAAAUCCAGAUGCAGCCAGGGGAGAAAGUGGACCUGGGAUGUAUAUGUCAGCAGCUUUAAAUAAUGACACACGACCUAAGACUGGGAUGGAAAUAGAGGCGGUUAUGAGAAUUAAAAUGGGAGUGGGAGAGCAUUGCUGUGUAGAAAGAAUCAUGUAGACAAAUUUGUAUUGAGAGUUUAUUUUUGUGGGGAGUACUGGCCUCUUAGCCAGCUUAGUAUUUUCAUCUUCAUAUUGGAGAGUGUUUUUUCUUAAGCAGUUUCCAGUUUAUUCCUAUUGACAGCAUUGUAAUGAAAUGAAUUGAGGAGUGAUUGAAUAUUACAUUGAUAAAUGAAAAACAUUUUCUGAUAACAUUCUGUGCUGCCCCCUAUUUUUUUACUAUUACAUUGCUUCAUUUUGGUAGGUUGAUGCUGUGAAAUUGAAAUUUGCUUGCUGGAGUAGUGAUUCUGUUGUGCACUUUUUGAUUGUGCUCUUGGGUGGUGGAGGAGAAAGGGUCUGAAGUGUUGGAACAAGGCUGAGUAGAGAGACUUAAGAUCAAUUUAAGUUGGAGAGAGACUGUAGAAAUUGCAGCAGCUGCCUUUUCACUGGUGUGCAGCGUUUAGAUGUUGGAGUGCUUGUAUUGUAUGUCCACAGACAAGAAAUGAAAAUUUUCAGACACCCGUCUAUUGGUGAUUAACAGCUGCUGAGGGCCUUCAGACAUAGCUCUUUUUCACCGCUGAGAAGACGAGGUUAGCUCAUGUCUUUCUAUUUUUGUGCUUCGUCUGUUCUCAUCUAAAUCUGCUUCUUUAUUUCAUGCCCUUCAAUUCUAAUUGUCACAUUGUUUCUGAGAAUGUGAGGAAGCCAGGAAAUAUUGCAAACAUGGUAAGAAGUCCACCAGAGUGAUAACUCAAUCUUUCCAAGAAACUGGAAAAACAAUACCCAUUUAGAGGGUUUUAGGUUCUUGUUCUUAUAACUUUGUUUACAAGUAAUAAGUUGAUUAGCUUGCUUGGACUAGUUAAAAUCUGUGCUUUCUGUUCCAGGAGAUGGAACAGAAAGCAUAAAAUAAUUGGCCUCUUAU